UUUUGUUUACUUUAAAAAAUAGAAAAAAUUUUAAGCCAAAUUUCUAAACAGACUUUUACAAGGUGUUUGAUUAUUGGGUUAGACAUUGGAUCCGAGUUAGAGGAGUAAAAGAAGACAAAUGUUUGGCAUGUGGGUUUGCUUAUGUUAAGCUAGGAAUAUUGCAAAUGAAUACAAAUUAUAAAUCUAUAAACCAAAUGCCGACUACACAAAUUUAAGUUUAUAAAACUAAAUCAUUUUACAUCCAGAGUCAAACUUUAUAAACCUAAAUUUAUUACAAACAAUGAUGAAAUAAUUUAGAAAUAUUGAAAAGUAAAUGUAAAUGUAAUUAAAGAGAAUAUACUGUAAAUUUCUCAGAAUUUUUUACUCAGUACUUCUGUUGUCUCUUCUCAUGGGUCCCUGUCCCUCUCUUCUCUGAACUCCUUUUGGUCCCCGUCGUUUCCUUUCCUCCUCCAUUUUGGACACUGCCAAAGCUCUCUCUCUCCCAUUAUUUUCUUUCUUCCUUUUAAGAAUAUGAUAUUGAAAGUGGUCCGUUUUUAUAAAGUUCAGUUGAAUCGGGUUUUCAAGUAACUUCAGGAUUUUAUUUGUCUUCAGUUUUUCUUUUAACUUCUUUGCCACCAGGUUCAUGGGUUUCUCCUUCCUCUACUUGCUUUCUUCUGAAUUAGCUUAUCAGUUUACAGUGAAGACGAAAUGGUUUCACGACUUCUUUAUUUGAAUUUUGGCUCUCAGUUGCACUGACUGCUUCUUUAAUUUUGGUGGAUCAUCUCUUGGUUUUCAAAGGCUAUUAUUCCUUUGCUUUUAUUUUGGUCUUAUCUGCCGUAAUUUAACCUUUCAAUCACGUUUAUUUUCGUUUCAGGUUUCCAUCUGAUCUGAACAUGGGACAGAACUGUAAUGCCUUGGACUGGUUUACGAACGUCUUCAAGGAAAUGGAGGGCAGGUGCUUGGAGAUGUGUGAUGUCUUGGAGAAGGUAAAACUACUACAAUGUGCUUGAAAAUAAUUACAGAAAUUUUGGAAAUGGGUCUUAGUCUUGGUUUUCAGCACCACCAAUUUGGUGAUGGUUUCCUAAUUUGGGCUUUUUUCUAUGGUUCAAAAAACUCUUAUCCCACAAACAGUUCCACCCUUUACCUCUUGUGCAAUUUUUGAUGUUACAUUUUCAGUGAUAAAAUGCAACUUUUGUUAAUUGGAGUUCUCUCUCCUGUCACGUACAAUUGUGGACAGCCAUGUGGGUUCAAUAUAAGAUGCAAUUAUAUUUAACUAUAUUCUUAAGUGAUGAAUAUUUUACAUACCAGCAUUUUCUUGAAAUAGUCAGCUUGUCAGAAGCUUCUAUGAUAAUAUUCUUAAUUCUUGGGUGUCAUUUCCUGUAAAGAAAAGGGGAGACAGGCACAUAUAUGAAAACAAGUUAACGGACACCCAUCAGCUUUGGAGAAAUAAGAAAAAGAGCAGUAUAACAUAUGUGCUUUUGUUAUAUCAUUCAUUUUGUUGAAUCUUGCUAUUGCAGGGGAGCAUCAUAUCCAGACAGAACGAAGAACAAUUCAAACACCUGAUAAACAGAAUCUUCAUAUUAUUCAACCAAACCAUUUCUCAGCUGACCAAAAAAUUGAAAAAAUGAAUGCUAAAGCAAAUAUACCGAGUUCAUCAAGGAAGCAGAGCCAAAAAGCAAAUGCACUUACCAACGAAAUAGUAAAGUUUUCUCCAUCCACCACACAAAAUGAUGAAUUCCCUGACUGGGAGGUUAUUUAGAUUCAUGGUAGGUAGAGAUGAUAUCAGUCGGCUAAUUUUAGCAUUUUGCUUUCCUUCUAAAAGCAGAGGUCGUGAACAGGCAGUAACAUUCAUGAUGAUCCUCCAAAUAUUAUCCUAUAAAGACUUAUCCUAUGCAAUGCUAUGCUAGUCAUUUGGUUGCUUUCUC